ACUUAAAUAAUUUAAUUUAAAAUAUCAGUUUGUGGUUCUGGUUAUGUAUUUAUAUACUUUAGGUU
rnacentral:tRNA from 1 species